CAACGGGCUGUUAAGACUGCCACCGUCUCUAGCCUCAGUGCCAGAGUAUUCGCUUCUGCACGCAGUGUGUCUCCCUCCGUGCCUCUCAGCAGCCCACAGCCCAGCACUCUCACCUGGUUUCCUCACUCUGCACCUCGACUCCGGAUCUCCUCAGUUCUCUGCACAAUUCUGACACAAUAAACCUGUUAACCCUCU